rnacentral:lncRNA from 1 species
CUGGCACUAACAAGAAUGCCAUAGUAAAUAUCACUUGGUCAAUUGUUUCCAUUUUUCUGUGUUGACAGUAUCCUGUAUUUCAGACCUUGCUGCAGUUGGAGUGCUCAGUCCUGGUGCUGGGGCUCUAUCACUGUGCGAAGUUCAGUCUCAAACCUAUCAUACCUGCUCCAGGUGCCAAGUUGUGAAACCUUGAUUUCCUGAAAUUUGGGACUCAGUAGCAGGAUGACUCCUCAGGCCAGGAAUCUCUCCAUCUUUGUACCUCAGCUGAAAUCAAGAUUCCUCAGACCAGGCUAUGUCUUCAACUGUCCAGUUUUGGUGAGCCUGUGCCCACUGCAGCCUCAGCUUUCUGUUCUUGUCUGACAGAAGAAGAACCUGACAGAGCCUUUUGCCAGUCUUUCUCAAGGUUUGACUUGUUAUCCAUUCUGAGAUGCUUGUUGUCUGAGUUACAGUAGCCUAUCAGUCAGAUUGAACAAGUCUGGCAAGUUGAUCUCUUGAAUUCUAGUGGCUGCUUUCUUCUGGCACUAUCAAGCAUGUUACACUUAAUAUCACUAAGACUUGGUCAGUUUUUCUGUGUUGUCUGUAUCCAAUAUUUCAGACUUUGCUGCUGUUGGAGUGCUCAAACCUGGUGCUGGGGCUCUACCACUGUGCAAAGUUCAGUCUCAAAUCUAUCAUACCUGGUCCAGAAAGGCACAUUGCUUCUGUCCUGAUGUCUCACAGAAACUGACAGCUGCAAUUUCUGUUGAAAUUAAGAAGAUUGGAACUUCCUCGAAGCAGGUUUGAAGACAUUACAUGACACUACAUUUCUAAUGCUUUAUUUCACAUUAAAAAUUAGUUAAGU